rnacentral:misc_RNA from 1 species
GAUGAAGAACGUAGCGAAAUGCGAUACUUGGUGUGAAUUGCAGAAUCCCGUGAACCAUCGAGUCUUUGAACGCAAGUUGCGCCCGAAGCCAUCAGGUUGAGGGCACGUCUGCCUGGGCGUCACAUAUCGUUGCCCAAUGCCUAUUGCAGUGCAAUAGGAAUUUCUAGGGCGAAUGAUGGCUUCCCGUGAGCGUUGUUGCCUCGCGGUUGGUUGAAAAUCGAGUCCUUGGUAGGGUGUGCCAUGGUAGAUGGUGGUCGAGUUAGAACGAUACCGAUCAUGUGCAUGCUCCCCAAAAUAUGGCCUCUAUGACCCACACGCGUCUUUUGACGCUCAUGACGAGACCUCAGGUCAGGCGGGGCUACCCGCUGAAUUUAAGCAUAUCAAUCAGCGGAGGA